GCAAAGUUGUGUGAUGAAGAGCCACCGCGUAUUGAACAAAAUCGGAAGAAAAGCCCUGCAAAAUGAGUUUGACGUUUGGUAUGACGUAACGAAACGUAAACAAAACGGUACACCAGCGACGAUGCAGUGAAGUGGUUUAGUUUUAUUUUCGCUCCAUAAAAUAGAAGCCCUUUUCGCGUAUUACUCGCUUGCAAACUCUAGAACAGUGUAGCUCAGUACCGGUGUGACUUAUGUAACUAAACACGCAGCGUAUAAAGAAUCCACCCGAAAGCUGUCAAAAAGGCGCUGGUGCACGAUAAACAAAAAAUCGAACGCAAGAGAGAGCAAAAAAACGCACACACACAAUCUGCUCUGCGUCUCUGUGUGCGUGCGAGCCGUGUGUCGGGUGCGUGUAGAGCAGGGAGAACCUUCCCAACAGCAAUUGAAGGUUUGUUCGCCAACGCGCUCUGCCGUGGCCGUGUUUUGUUUGUGGUGCGCUUCAAAAUCAACAAAUUUAAGGCCGUCUAGUAACAGGUGCAGUGGUUUUUCUCGCUGCUAGGCAGUGUGCUAAGUGCGUGCGGGAAGGUGGCGAAAGAGGAAAAAACCGGGAGCUUCCGAUUUCACUUGGCCAAGCCCGACGGUGUGUGGUACGGGGUGCUUUGGUUCAUUUUCCGGCCAGUCCCGGGCCAGAGUGCGGUGUGCGGUGCAAGGUGUAGCCAGUAGCGCUAUACCUGGAGAAAGUGUCUCUUGUACCCGGCCGUGUGUGUGUGUGUGUGUGCUCAUUCGUCCGGGGUUUAGUAGUAGCAAAAGAUAACAAGAUAAAAAGUUCCGUUCCGAAAUCGUACGGUACCACCCCGACGGCCGCCCGUCGAUAGCGGGCCGCUCGAGCCCGCGUGUGUGUGGUUUUGCUUCGCUAGAUUCGUACGGGCGAAGGGAAACGUUGAUUUAAUGCGCAGUGCCGCGACCGGGUGCCGAAUUCCUCCACCAAUUUGCACCUCAAACAGUUUGUCAAACACAAGGAGGUUCGAGUAGCCCGAUAAAGUUUCCGUGGAGCAGCAGCAGCAGAAGCAGCAGUCAGUGGUCGUCUAGCAACGUCGCAGCGAGUAAGGAGUCGCCAGGAGAUAAUCGUUUCGACGACAACUCUACUGAUACGCAAACAGUCUCAAAGGAACGUUACGAUAUUUCAGCUCGAAGUUUCUUUAAAAUCUUUCCCUUUCAAUACAGCGGUUUUUUGAAGCUUUAUUUCAGCACAAAAUCCAACAGCAAAUGGCAAACAACUCUGGCCCGUAAAUGAAGAAUUUAAUAAUCCUUCCCGUUCCACAGUGCUGCGCCUUAUAACACACAAUUGUAUUAGCUCUAGCCGCGUGUCCUGCACAGAGAAAUCCCGAUUCCGGCUUUAUUAAGUUUACCUUCCCGGGCAAGAGCUGCACAUUUGGCGAACAAACGCCGCGCCCCGGCAUCUCUGCAGCGGACGGAUGCGUCCACACCAAGGGGAGUUCAUAGAAUCCAUUUAUUUAUUAAACCCUAUGCUGCUGCCUCACCAGUGUCGCCUUUUUAUUGCAUUUUGUUUGCGUAAAUGCCAAGGCUGUCCCGCCAAAGCGAGGUGAACUACGGAAGCAGGACGUCGCACAAGAUUUUCCUCCCUUUUUGCCAGGGGCGCGGAAGCGUCAUGUGUGCAAUAUGCUUACCGAGUCUUUCAUCCCGUCGUCUUAUUGGCAAGCAAGUGGCAAGAGGUCGAUCGAUCGAAUGCAUUGAAUUGCAUAAAGUCAGGCAAACAUAGCGAGAGAGACAAAGAGAGAGAGAAAGAGAGAGAGAGCAUGGCGCAAACGAGGGUGGACAGUGUGAGUGUGCGACAAAACACUUCCCUUCGUGCUUUCGAUACGGGUGGUGUGCGUUCGGGGUGUGUUGGAUGAGGCGAUUUUCAGAGGGAUUGCAUUAACGUAUUGUGCGUUUUCGAGGAGGUUUGACUGUGUUGAUUUGCGAAAAUGACUCGCCCUAGUCUCGGUCCCUAGACGAUUAAUGAGGUUCGAAC